GGCACCCGCUGCGUCUCACCUGGAAGUUGCCCACUAUGGAUGUCCCUAGAGCACAGAGAAGUCCCGACCACAGGAUCAACUGGUUAUGCCACGUUGCGACGCCCCAGUCCCGGAGCUGGUGAUAACGCACAAUGCAGAUCCAGGCGGCUGGGAGGACAGGGAAGUGGGCUGGGAGUCCCCAGCAAGGUGGAGAUGGUGGAAGGGGAGGAUAUGGGUCCAGGGCUGGGGACAAUUCCCGGAUUUGAGCGGGGAGAGCUGGGGCCUGGACCCCUGGGCCUGAAGCAGGAGGGUUGGAGCCUGGACCCUGGGUCCCAGGGAGGAGGACUGGGAACUGGCUUAGUUGGUUUGAGCUCCAGGAAUGGAAGAGGCUUGGAAACAUUUACCCAUAGCAGCUCCCACAUUGAGCAGCUGGCUGAAGAUGCAGCUCUGCGGGGGAUAGGAUCCACAGAAGCUGUGGAAGGUAAAGGGUCAUCCAACGGCUCCUCCAAGGCGGAGCCCCACAUUCCUCCUGCAGGACCCUGCAGGCCAUAACCACCUGAUGAAGGGGAAGCCUUUUGAGAGGUCCACAGUCCCGUUGACCACCGAGAUUCCAAAACUGAGGUGGGAGGAACACACCAAGGUGAGUAAGGGACUUUCAAGCACUUUUCUUUCUGUUAACCCAAUACUUCAUUCUGUUAACAGAAUAAACCAGAACUUCUAGACCCCUCCUCCCUCAGACCCAGAGGUCCAGGCCCAGCCUCCUCCCUCGGACCCAGGGCUCCAGGUCCAGCCCACCUCCCUCAGACCCAGGGGUCCAGGCCCAGCCUCCUCCCUCAGACCCAGGGGUCCAGGCCCAGACUCCUCCCUCAGACCCAGGGGUCCAGGCCCAGACUCCUCCCUCAGACCCAGGGAGGACCAUCUGGCCUCUGCCACUCACACGAUCCAGACGCCAGCAAUAGCCCACAGUGCCAGGAAGACAGGCAGAAGGGACAUGUAGCCCCACAUGCUGGGCUCUGCAGAGGAAGGAGAGGGGCUGGAGCUGGGACCGGCAACUUCUCUGUUGUGCAGGCGAGGGCCCUGGCCUUACACAGUCCCACCCCUUCCGAAACUCCCUUGGUAGGUUUGGGGCUAGUGAGCCUUCAGGGAAGAAAGGCUGGGAUUCUGGGUGGGGCAGGGGCGGGCGGGUCAUCCAGUUCUUCAGAGGCAAAGUCCAGGCCCCAGUACUUGGAGGACGGUGUUCCUGUUCAACCUUGGGUCUGACUGGCCACUUUUUAUGGCCUUCACCCGCAAACCACUACUUCCUGUCUCCUCAGAACUCAGCAGGCAGCACCUUCAGGGAGCCCCUAACUUCCUUCCUCCAGUUUGUGGGUUCAACUUCCAAACUCCUAGCGUUUAUCCUGCCCCAGCCCCAGAAAUCUAAGCCUCCAGAACUCUCCACGCUCUUCCCUUGGGGACCCAAGGGUCGAGGCCCCGAGUCCUCUCCUCUCUGAAGACCCAGAGGGCCAUCUGGGGCCACAGUUCCUUCUGGAAUACCUGCAUUCACUUUAGCUCCGGGGUCCAGCCCGCUCUUGCCUGUUCUGGGAGGAGGAUCCAGGCCUCAUUUGAGGAGUCCUCCCUUCUCCCAGCAUUUCUGUCCGUGGGCUGCUGGAGGUGAGGCCCUGGUGUCCCGCCUCCACCCACAUUGUCUGCCCUCUCCCUUUCUUUUUCUGCUAUGCUGGAGUUCCCCAGGCAGGCCGAGUGUGGGUGGGAAAGGGACCUUAGUGAUGAAAUCUGCAUCUGAAACCCUCUCAGACAGCUCGACUUCCUCUGCUCUGACCAUUUUCCUCUUCCAGGCAGCCGCCCUCAACUUCUGGCCUCCUCUCCUGUACUACCCAGGUGUUUGAGUCAGGUUUCUCCUGCUUCCUCCAAGAUCCAAGGAUCUAGGCCCCAAUCCUCCCCCCUCAAAUCCAAGUGCUCCUGCCUCGCCCCAGGGAGCCAAACUACCUCCUCCCUCAGCAUCUCUGCUUAAUUUUGUUUGUUUAAUGCAGGUGGAAUUUCCAUAGCAUAGAAUCACCAUUUUGAAGUUCAUAAUUCAGUGGCAUUUAAUACACUGGGUCUCACUCAGUUACCCAGACUGGCCUCAAACUUGUGAGGCCCUCCUGAGUUGGGAUUGCUGGCUUGUGCCACCAUGGGCAGCCCAGAACUGUUUGCUCACCCAGGAGCAGACCCAACAUCCACGGAGCUGUCCUUACCUCUCCCCAGCCUGACCCCCAUCGGAAGGCCACUUGCACAGUAGACGCCACUUCUGGGUUUUUCACGUCAGCGGAAUUGUUCGCUGCAUCCUCUGGCUGCAGCCUUUGCCGAGCACAGGGCUGAGGCUCCUCGCAUUGCUGUGGCUUGAAUGGGACACAUCCCCUCUGGCACUCAGGUUCAGACUAGAUCUCCACCCCAGCUACUGAGAGCCGGGCCAGGCGGGGCCUUGAAAAGGUGGGAGGCUCAGCCCUUGUGAGCGAGUAGACAGUAGACGGCUCCCGGGAUCAGCAGCUCAGUACAGCAUCUGACUCCUGGCCUGGUCUGGCCAGGUCUCUCCAGCGUCCCUGUCUCCCACCAAAGGGUGCCCUGCAGCCUCUGUGGACUGGGCCAGCAGGAAGGCCAGCCCCAGAUGUAGCCCCUAACCUUGGACCACACCAUGAGCAACAAAAAUCCUCUUUUCUUCGUAAGUGACCCAUCUGUGGGAUAGCACUACCCACAGUGGAACACGGCUGAUACAGGCUGUGCCCUCUAUCACAGAUCCAUUCUUUUUUAUGGUUAAGUUACUGUCUGCUGACACCAUCUCUCAGGACUCAAGAACGAAGUGUGUUCAUCAGCUUUCUGUUGCUAUGACAAAAUACCCGAGGUAAACCACUUGGAGGAGGGAAGAUUUGUUUUGGUUCAUGCUUUCAGAGGUGUCAGUCAUUGGCUGGCUGACUCCACUGCUGGGGCCUGAGGUGAGGCAGAGUGUCAUGGUGUAAGGGCAUGGCAGAACAAAGCAGCUCAAUUCAUGGCAGCUGGGAAGCAGAGAGAGGAAGGAAGAACCAGGGACAGGUCCCCAAGGGCACCCCCCGCCAAACCCAGUCCCUUAAACCUCCUAAUAUGGCAUCCAGCUGUGAACCAUCAUUGGGCUAGUCCACUGAUCUGGCGGUUCUCAUCAUCCAACCACUCCCCACACACCCGUCUCUGAACACUGCUGCACUGGGGACCAACUUGUCAACAUGUGAGGCUUUGGGGGGGGGGGCAUUCCAGAUUCACUCCGUGACACUAAGGCCCCAGGCUGGCAUGUUGGCACACCUGUGAUCCCAGGUACUCCAGAGGCUGAGCAGGAGAGUGGCAAGUUCGAGUCCAGCCAUGUCAACUUAGCGAGACCCUGUGUCAAAAUAGAAAGGGCUGGGGGUGUAGUUUAGUGGUAAAGCACCCCUGGACUUAGUUCCCCAGUACCACAGAAAAUAAAUGAUUCCAAGGCCCUAAGUGCUAUGGAUUUCCAGUGUCCCAGUAACUAGGACUUAC